rnacentral:rRNA from 1 species
GAUGAACGCUGGCGGCGUGCCUAAUACAUGCAAGUCGAGCGAACAGACGAGGAGCUUGCUCCUCUGACGUUAGCGGCGGACGGGUGAGUAACACGUGGAUAACCUACCUAUAAGACUGGGAUAACUUCGGGAAACCGGAGCUAAUACCGGAUAAUAUAUUGAACCGCAUGGUUCAAUAGUGAAAGACGGUUUUGCUGUCACUUAUAGAUGGAUCCGCGCCGCAUUAGCUAGUUGGUAAGGUAACGGCUUACCAAGGCAACGAUGCGUAGCCGACCUGAGAGGGUGAUCGGCCACACUGGAACUGAGACACGGUCCAGACUCCUACGGGAGGCAGCAGUAGGGAAUCUUCAGCAAUGGGCGAAAGACUGACGGAGCAACGCCGCGUGAGUGAUGAAGGUCUUCGGAUCGUAAAACUCUGUUAUUAGGGAAGAACAAAUGUGUAAGUAACUAUGCACGUCUUGACGGUACCUAAUCAGAAAGCCACGGCUAACUACGUG